UCUCAGCCUCUCUGCCCCCGCUCGCUGUGUACGAAGCCAACCUCCAGGUCUCCACCCCGGGAAGACGCCUCCUCCUAAGAAGGGACGGUCGGGAUGCUGCGCUAGUUGUGUGGACAGUGGGAGAAAAGUUUCGCUCUCGAAUCUUAAAGAAGCAAGGCGAUCGAUUGGGGAACUCCUCCCAUGGCUUCAGGAAAAGCCACUCUAUUCUUUGGGAAAGCCCCUGUGUCCCGCCGGUUUUCCGCUUGGUCAGCAGGAUCUUCUACUGAAAGUAGAGUUCUCUCAUUCCAGUCUGCACGUACAGCUUGGAAAUUGCCAAACUGGAGAGCGAAGUCUGAGGUGGGCGGGUAGGGGAGAAGGUGGCAGCUCAACGGACGGAAGACUUUGGUUAUUAGCCAUAGACCUGGUUUAAGGAAUCAUGACCUAUAUGCAGAGAAAAUACAAGAUAAUGUCUUCUUAACUACAAAUUCUUGGGCAGAGUUGGCUAGUGACACAGGAAACAAGAAGGUGCAUGAUAAAUAUUCAUGAAUCGAUUGGUUGAUGUAGUGACAGAGGAUAGAAGAAGUAUCAUCUCAACAGCUGCCAGGAGGGUUAUUUGGGAAGGAUGUCUGUUAUCCCAGUCCUGAGGUCCUCAUCCUCAUAGAUGGAAUGAAAAAGGCACGAGGAGUAGAUGCUGGCAGCCCCAAUUGUCAUAGUUAUCAUCAUCAUUAUCACCAUCACCAUCAUCAUCAUCAUCAUCAUCAUCAUCAUCAUCAUCAUCAUCAUCAUUUCUUCUAUCCUCUCAUGAGAUAGAAGCAGUCCUGGGAUGUAUCACUGUCCUGUUAUUAAUCUUUUAUAUUUAGUGUAUGGUGGACAAUUGCACAGCAGGAAGAAAACUCAAAGACCUUGAACACAGGCCGAUAGACCAACAAGGAAGCUAUUAAUAACAAAAGGAAAUAUGACUUCUGUACAUCUAAAUGAGUUGAGCUAUCCAUAAGUAAAUAUUACAAGACAAAGGAAAAUGAAUCGAUGCCUGAUGAAACAGAAGACCCUGUUGACUACCAAGAAAACAUGGAACCACAGCAAGAUUUUCCUGAAUGGUUUAAGAAAGGAAUUUCUUCAUCAAGAGGAGUUGUUGUUCCUUAGAACUUCCUGUACUAAGACCAACCUGAUGUGAGCUUUUUGAUGUUAGCCUGCUUGCUUGAUUACCUCCUUUCAAGUUGCUAACUUUGAACAUCUGACAAAACUCUCACUCCUUUCUUCAGAAUAGAGGUCAGCACACUAUGACCUGUGGACUGCUUCCUCUUUUUGUAUGGCCCAGGAGCUUGCUGACCAUACAAAAAUGGGUAGCUGGAUUUGGCCCUUAUGCCAUAGUUUGUCAAUUCCUGCUUUAAAGAAAGAUAUGUGGAUAGUCUGAUACCUUUUCAGGGCAGGAAUGUUUGUGUGGAUGGGGCAUUCUCUACCCUUUUGUUACUUGUUCCUUCUCUGACCUUCUAUGUUAUCAAUUUCUUUUCUAUCCUCUGUCUUUUCCUUUUUCACUAUCUCCCUUUCUCCCUCUUUCUUUUCUCAGUUUUAGGAGAAAACUGAAAUCGUUUUAUUUGCAUUUUUGAUCAAAGUUUUAUGUUUCCUGUCCCAAAUUUUAAAAAGUAGGUGAUUUGAAUGUGUUAUGUGUAGCAUUUGGAGUGCAUCCUCUUAUAUGUACUUCAGAAAACUUUCCCUUUGGUUUUGGUAAACAGCCUGGAAUCUGACCCUUUGAGUUCAUGAGCAUCCAUAUAUGCUUUAUCUUGAUAUGCUAACAAAUUCUCAGUUGUGAUGUGUUGCCUGAAUAUUGUACUAUCUGGCCUUUCCCACUCUCUGAGACCAGCUUUCAGAACAGGCCUUUCCCUCCACUUGUUCUAAUGCCAUGGCUCCCAACCAUUUGGCACUAAUAGUUAGCUUAGCAACCUUUUAAAAAUAAUGCAAGCAAAAUGUAAAUCUUAGCCAAAUCCCAACUUAAUUAUAACAAAUCUGCAAUAGGGGGAAGGUGUCUAAAUUAAUUCUAUUUUACUGUACAUUUAUUGUGAAAUAAGCUUGGAGCUUCCAUAUCAAUCAUCUGUUGUACUUAUCCAGCUGGCCCUCGAAAGAGUGAGUAGACUCCAAAUUAGAUGCUUAGUUACAAAGUGACAUUUAAAAAAAAAAAACACCUAAUUUAUAAAUUGUAUCAUAAUAAGAAAAAGCUGAGAUCUGGUUAAAAUUGGGCAAGAAUAUUCACCAAGGGCUUCCAUUUGAGGUAUUGUGGUGCAGUGGAUAGAGUACUGAACUUGAAGUCAGGAAGACUUGACUUUGAAUCUCACCUUGUUCAUACAAUUUGGGAAUGUUAAGAAAGUCACUUAACCUUUCUGAAACUCAGUUUCUCCAUCUGCAAAAUGGGGAUAAAAUUACCUUUCUCACAGGCUUGAGAAUCAAAUGAGACAAUGCAUGUAUAUUGCUUGUAAACCCUGGAAUACUAUAUAAAUAUCAAACUAUAUAUAAAUAUCAACUAUCAUUAUAGGUACAGAGUUACUAAGGUGUAACACUAUUUCUUGUCUCUUUAAUGGGAAUUGUGAUUUGUAUAUAUGGUAUAAGAUUAUGACAGCAAAUAAUAAGAUAAGACAUGUAACAUGAUAUGCACAGAAGUAUAAUAAUUAAGAUGUGUUGAACAAAUGCAAAUUGUACUCAUUUAUAAAUUGUAUACAUUAUUUCAUUAUAUAUUUCACAGGAUGAAAAAAAAUCACACACCAUUCUCUUUGAUGACUCCAAGAGUAUGUACUCUACUGACAUUUUAUGUUAAGAUUGUUGGUUUAAGGCACCAAGAGAGAUUUUGGUCAAUGAAUAGUAACCUCCCGUGGCUCCUCCUCCUCCUCCCAUUCUCUCAGCUGCCAUGCUUCAUAUUUUACAGAAAAAAAAUUGAGGCCAUUUGCCAUAAGCUCUCUCUUCUUCCCCUUCCUAAUUUCAUGUCACUCAGAUGACUUCCGUCACUAUUUUCUUCUUCACCCUUGUCUCGCGUGAAGAGGUAACCUUACUCUUUACUAAGGACAACCCCAACACCUGCACAAGUGAUCCCAUUUCACCUCAUAUUUUCCACCAAAUUCUUCCCUCUGUCAUCCCUACUCUAACAUCUAUCUUCAGUCUCUCUCUGUCUAUUGGUUCCUUCCUUGCUGUCUACAAACAGGCCCCUGUCUCUUCCAUUUAAAAAACCCCUCAAAAACGCUCCUUCUCAAAAUCUUGCUGGAUCCUCAUUCAGAUCAUAUUUUCUAAUUAUAGGUGUCCUGAAGGGCUCUGUCUUGGGCUCUCUUCUCUUCUUCCUCUGUACUAUAUAACUUGCUGAUAUUAUCAGUUCCUGUCGAUUUAAAUAUCAUCUAUACACUGAUGAUUCCCAAAUCUACCUAAUCUGCCCUAACCACUCUGCGGACCUCCAGUCUCACAUCUCCAACUGCCUCUCAGACAUCUCAAAUUGGAUGUCAUGUAGACAUCUAAACUCAACAUGUUUAGAAUUGAAUUCAUUAUCUACCCUUCCCCCCCACAUACCCCAACUCUCCCAAUUCUCUAUUCUAUUUCUCUUCUAAUUUUCUAUUGGUGGAGAGGAUAGCACAAUGAAAAUUCAACAAGUUGUGUGGUUUGUCCUUUGUUCUCGAAGAGGACCAUGACAUCAGGGAGAUGAUGACGUGACUUGCAAUUGA